rnacentral:rRNA from 1 species
AGCAGCCGCGGUAAUUCCAGCUCCAAUAGCGUAUAUUAAAGUUGUUGCAGUUAAAAAGCUCGUAGUUGAAUUUCGGGGUUAGUAGAUUGGUCAUGCCUCUGGUAUGCACUGGUCUCACUGAUUCCUCCUUCCUGAUGAGCCGUAAUGCCAUUAAUUUGGUGUUGCGGGGAAUUUGGACUGUUACUUUGAAAAAAUUAGAGUGUUUAAAGCAAGCUAACGCUUGAAUACAUUAGCAUGGAAUAAUGAAAUAGGACGUUCGAUCCUAUUUUGUUGGUUUCUAGGAUUGACGUAAUGAUUAAUAGGGAUAGUUGGGGGCAUUAGUAUUCAAUUGUCAGAGGUGAAAUUCUUGGAUUUAUUGAAGACUAACUACUGCGAAAGCAUUUGCCAAGGGUGUUUUCAUUAAUCAAGAACGAAAGUUAGGGGAUCGAAGACGAUCAGAUACCGUCGUAGUCUUAACCAUAAACUAUGCCGACUAGGGAUCGGAUGAUGUUAAUUUUUUAAUGACUCA